CAUAACACACAGUGAUUUUUUUAAAAGUGCUGUUGUUAUUAACCAACUAUGUAAUCAUCAUUAUCUGCUGGAGACAAACAUGACUAACCUAGUGACACUGGAUACAGAAAUAUUACAGAUUUCAGCAUAGCCAAGGUGUUCAGAAAGCCAAUGUACAUCAGUACUAAGAUGUCAAAGGAGAAUGAAAAAAAUUGGAAGCAUAUAACUUAAAAAACGUAAUAAAAAGGGGAAAAAAUCCUAAUUUUGGUUGCCUUAUGAAAGAGAAAGAAUAGAAAGAAAACUCUUCCCUUGUUUUUGGUCUCUUUCAGUUGAACAUUCAACUUUAAAUGCACAUAGUGAACUAACGGCUUUCAUUCCUAGUUACCAAAGCCUUCCAGCUCCACCAAGGCCCUAGGAACAUCAGUGUUGGGAAUCAGUGCCAACAACCUGUGGCAGGAAGCCUUCAGGAAGAUGAAGCACUGAUGUUGGAAGUGCAGAGGAGCCCAGCCCAAGGACACCUGGUAAUGACUU
rnacentral:lncRNA from 1 species